AAGGACACAAACAAAAAAGGAACUGACAUCUCUUUGGUUAGGAGCUGAGCUACAAAAACUCUGAAGACUGUAUUCUGCUCUUCUAAAAGUUAUUACCAAAAUUAUUUUCUCAGAUUCUCUAAAAAAGCCCAGCAAAGGAAAUUGAUACAUUCACCCACACUGAAUUCACAUUACUGUGAAUUCUGUAUUUCUGCUGUGUUUCUUAAACGUCUUUUAAAGCAGCUUUGAGGAUUGAGAGAUUUGCGUUUCAGCACACUGUCAUUAGUGAGUCACUGCUCAGAAGAGUGAGGACAAGAAGCAAUCUUAAAGACAGACUGGUGCAUAGCAGAGCCUGUGUAGAAGACACAAGCUAAUCUAUCUGAAAGCAGAGAUGUUAAGAGGAAUAUAUUAUAGGACCAUAUAAAUUAGAGGAUGAUAAGUCUUCAUGAGUUUCUAGAAUACUACCGUUCCCCAUAAAGAUACACCACACAGGAAAGUUUAUCUGAGAAAGUCUUCUGGACUUCGUGGAGAAUAGCCACUAAGAAGAGUGGAAACUGAAGAAAGGAGGAGAUGCUGAAGAGUAUCUCUGGCAUCCUUACAACAGAAAAAAAAAAAAGUGAUGAAGUUAACAGUAAUUUUCACAAAGCCAAAUUCUACUGAUUUUGAUCACUUUUAGGUAGUAUCUUUGUGUCUAAACCAAAAGAAGCAGUGAUGCAAGAUACAAACCAAUGGGAGUAUUGUAGAAAAACUAGCUUUAACACUGAGCUAGAGCCUCAGGCCCAACACAGCUGCCCAGAAUACUUGAGGAAGCCAGGAAUUCUCACAACACAGACAGACUUGGAAGAAAAAAACUCUCUAGCUGACAAAGUAAGCAUGUCAGGAUGGCCUGGUGACAAAAGCAGAUGGGGUUGAAAUGCAGUCCCUUUGGCUCAAAUGUCUGUCUCUGGAGAUGUGUGCCAGUAUCUGCCUGAAAAAAUCCAGGGACUCCUUUUAAUUUGGAGGACCACUGCCAAUUUCCAAAGUCAAUCCAACAGUCAGUAACAUCUCAGCUUUUGACUUGUCCUUGUUCACCCUAGUGUCUAUCUGUUGCAGAAUUAUGAAUUAGAGUUAAAUCACACAGAACUUUAACCCUCAGCCAAUUACCAGCAGAAGCAUGGCACUCUGAAAUAACAACAGGUGUGUGUUUCUCAAAUUUCUUUGGCAUUAGCAACAUCUCCUCCCCUCCAGCAUCUGAGACUUUUAUCAAGAGGCCGUUCUGUCUCCUCCCUAGUCUAACCAGAGAGGAUAUAAAGUUGCAUCUAUGACAGCAAUUUCUAUUCACUUGAAGAAGCAGAUAUGACCAUAAAAUGAAAAAUAAUGUCAAAUCACAGAAGUUAGAAAAGCAGCGAUCCAAUAAUAACCAAGAUAGGUUAAAACUGCCACUCAUUUAAAUUUCAAGGCAGAGUAACCAAAGUAAUGCAUGGUUUCUUGAAUUUGGAGGAGAGGUAUCUUUUUUGUCAUUCAGAUAUUGGGACCCUUCCACCUGGUGGAAUUAGGUUUGUAGUGUAUAUUAUUCUAAAUCCUAGAAUAAAGAUACACCUACCUCACAGUAUCAGAGAUCAAAUUACAGUGCAUGUUUUUCAGAGUAAUGUCACUUAUUCUUGGGAAAAGCAUAGUACAAUAGCUACGCUAUGUACAAGCUAAGCAAAAACAUGACUCAUGACUCACAAAUUAAAUCCAAGCACUUAAUGUAAAUCUUUUGGAAAUGUGAAUAUCCAGGAUGCAAAGCAAGAAGCUGGCAUUAGUAUUACAGCAUUGUCUCAAAAUCCAUUUAAGCUGAGUGUUGUGCCAUAUAAGCCUCACUUCCUCUGAGUCUGGUAUAUAUAUAAGGCAAAUUCAUCUCUGAAAAAUGUGCAUUUUUAGUGAACUGUUUCACUAACAACUAGUUCCAUGACUUCAUUUGGUCUCCUUUGCUAUGAAAUAUCUCAAUAUAUUAUACAUUCUGUCAUUUUGACAUCUCCCUCUUACUACUUACUUAUAUCCACUGUUGUGAAUCCCAAAGAUAAAAUUUAUUUAAUUAGAGGCAUAAUACUAGGAUUCAAUUUCAGAUUUCAAGAUCUCUGAAGUUUUGGCUCCUCUAGUUGCUCAUUUCUAUCAGAAUUGUAUUCAAGAUUUUCAUUUCAUACAAAGACUGUAUUCUCUUACUGAAUACUCUGUAAUUCUCAGCUUUUAACUGUUAGAGGCAUGCCACAUGAUGAGCCCAGCCCUUUGAUUCUUUUCUUUUUCUUUAUCAGCUGGUGGGGGCUUUAUCUCCCAUAUUCCAACCUUAACUUCAUUAGAUUGAAUUUAAGAUUAAGGAAAUGGUGACGGAAACAUGAUUUCAUAUUUUGCUUAAAACACAGAGCUACAAAAUGGUUUUGCACUUACAAUUUGCUGUAAUGUAUUUUACUGUCACUGAGUACAUAUUACAAGUAUUAAGCUGUAGUGAAGUAUCAGUCAAAUAUCCCAUUCACAUAAGCAGGCCAAAAAGCAGGCUAAUUAUCAUUUUCACCAUGAUAAUGUUUGUUUGCUCACAACCCAAAAAUGCAAAAAUAAGGAUGGAAAGCUGUCUGAAAACUCUACUCAGUGGUCACAAAUCACAGGAAUGGGGUUAGCAGCAAGUUUUUGCCCUUUUACAGAGCAAGUCAUUUCUUCAACUGGUCUGUCUCUAUGAUACAGUGAAACCAAAAGUUUAACAAUAAGGGAAAGUCAUCUUAUCAUACAAUGAAGACACAGCCAGACUGGACUGAAAUAAUCCUGUCUGGUGAACACUCUGGCCUUUGGUGUUUCAGUAAGUCAAGCAGAAUCCUGGGUACAAGUCCUCAUACCCUCAGAAGGCUGACACAAGCCCAGUCACCACCUUGUCCUGUAAUGCAGGAGCAGAGAAUCAAGCCUGAGGCACUUGGGCACAGACCCCGAGCCACUGCAGUCAACGGAGGUGGGAGACCUAGAAGUUCUCAGCAAGUUCUCAGCAGCCACUGAGGAGCACAGCACAUUGCAGAGACAAAGCAGUUUUUCCUGUCCAUGCCUUAAAGAAAUGCCCCAAUUUUUUUUUAAGUUUUCCAUGGCAGGCUUUUACACGAUUGCAUGCACAACACACCCAGAGGUGGCAGGCAGUGCCUUAGAGCUCUGCAUUUUCUUAACCCAUUUUUCUUUUUAAGUCUACUCUGUGUGUUUUGGAAAGCUGAUGAAGAGCAGAACUUUUGGGAACUCUCACUCAUACUUAGGAGAGGGGCAUAAUUUGACACUGCAAGCCUCAUCGGAAGGGAAAAAAAAACAAACCUGAAGAGCAGCCUGGUCUCUUGAAAUUCUUCUUUGAAAGUAAAUGGAUUCCAAGCAUAUUAAAUUACAGUCCUUAAUGAGACAAUUUAGUCAGAGCCUCUCAAGUUCAUAAUUUUUCAUUUGUCUAUACACUUUGCUGAGAUGAGGCACCUGCCUCUACAGGAGUUAUGCUUCCUUCCCCCCCUUACACAUACCAUUGCAAAUCUGAAGGGAUAUUUCAAUCACCACUUUGAUAAAGAAGAUCAUUUUGGCAUAUAGGUGAUCUCCUAACAGAUUAAGGAUAUUUACUUUCUUCCUGAUGGAUCAUUCCCAGAUAUAUCAGCACAACACAACCUACGCAAUUAGUUUUCACAGGUGGCUGUUUUGCCUCCAGUAAAACUGCUUUCUUUCUCCUCCUGCAAGUCAUAGCAGAGCAAAUGUAUAUAAAAACAUUUCAGAUAUGAAAUAAACACUU